rnacentral:rRNA from 1 species
AUGAGUCACACACAGAGAGAGACCCUUUAUGAAAAGGGAAAAGUUUACGUGCGGUCGACCGGCCGAGUUUCGGCCUGUCACAGCGCGCACUCCGCAACUCGUUCGUCUAUAUGUGGGUCCAUCACCGAACCACCGCCUAGUCUUUUACCUUAUCUCUUCACGGGCGAACGAGAUCCACUCAUUCUUCUACUCACACACAUCUCUUCUGCACCGCGAGCUCCGCUCUCUCCCCUCUUCUUCUCUGUAGAUGCUCGCCCUAUCUCACCGGCGACAAGCUACGCCGGCCGCCAUGGCCACCGCCCACUUUUUUCUCUUUUCUAUCCCGCGGUGGCCGUGGCUGCCCCCACCCCCUUUCCCCUCACCGGAAACAAGUGA